AGCUCAUGUCUACUCACAUUUAAAAGCGUAAUAAUCUUUCGCCUUUUACUAAAGAUUACCGUGUAGAGUAGAUAAAAUUUAAUGAGCAUUAGCUAAUAAAUUUUUGCACAGGGCCUGCCCACCCAAUUGGGAGGU